CGGGGUGUAGCGCAGUUUGGUAGCGCGCAUCGUUCGGGACGAUGAAGUCGUGGGUUCGAAUCCCGUCACCCCGACCA
rnacentral:tRNA from 1 species